AGGUCCCAAAAUAUAUGUUAAGUGGAAAAGGAUGUGGCGUUGCCCAGACAACUAGGAUGUUGGCUUAGAAGCAGCCAUCAUUUAAAGAGUGCGUAAUAGCUCACUAGUCGAGUGACACUGCGCCGAAAAUGUACCGGGGCUAAACAUAUUACCGAAGCUGUGGAUUGUCCUUUGGACAAUGGUAGGAGAGCGUUCUAAGGGCGUUGAAGCAUGAUCGUAAGGACAUGUGGAGCGCUUAGAAGUGAGAAUGCCGGUGUGAGUAGCGAAAGACGGGUGAGAAUCCCGUCCACCGAUUGACUAAGGUUUCCAGAGGAAGGCUCGUCCGCUCUGGGUUAGUCGGGUCCUAAGCUGAGGCCGACAGGCGUAGGCGAUGGAUAACAGGUUGAUAUUCCUGUACCACCUAUAAUCGUUUUAAUCGAUGGGGGGACGCAGUAGGAUAGGCGAAGCGUGCGAUUGGAUUGCACGUCUAAGCAGUAAGGCUGAGUAUUAGGCAAAUCCGGUACUCGUUAAGGCUGAGCUGUGAUGGGGAGAAGACAUUG
rnacentral:rRNA from 1 species